AAGACUAUACUUUCAGGGAUCAUUUCUAUAGUUCGUCACUAGAGAAGUUUCUCUGACUGUGUAGAGCACCCGAAACCACGAGGAGGAGGUGCAGCGCUGUCUCCUGAGCGUGAAACCGGCCUUUAGUGUUGCUUCCUGCAACUGCUUCUGGCCAUUGAUGAUCGUUCCCGAUUCUCGCUGAGAAUGGGGAGGGAGAGAGCGCAGUCUGAGUGGU